GUAUGUAAAGGGCAAACUAGUCGAAAGGCUAGGACGCAAAGCUACCGGUUUAAGGGUUAUUAAGACCUAUGACAGCGGAGCCGCCAUA
rfam:Photobacterium profundum SS9